ACCGAAAUGGUACCACAUAUUUAAAAAUUGCAAGUAAAUAACAUAGAAGCGAGUAACGUUACAAUCCUGCGUGAACGCAGCGAUUGCGUCAUCCGCUCCUUCCCCGCGCGGGCUCUGCUCGAUGCCCGUCGGGUUUUGAACGACGAGCAGUGUGUCGCUCGCUAUUAGAGUGGACGCACGUUCCGAAUUAUAAAAAUUAAAACCCCGAAUUAUAAAAAUUAAAACCUUUAAAGUGAACCCAAAUUGUUCCUUAGUAAGUGCAGUGCGAUUCCCCGCAUUAGGGGUUCGUCGCCUUCGACGCCUCCGUCGUCGUCGUCUUCGUCGUCGUCGCCGUUGCUCUUAUUCUUCGAGGCACGGAUUAUACAUCAGGAUAAUCAACGAAUCGAAUCAUCUACGUGUACACGUGUCUACGCAUCCGACGUGCCCUGAACCAAAUCCCGUCGGGUUCUCCGCGCCCUGGUGCCACCUUACAUCUCGGCAUCACAACAGGGGAGUACUUCAUACAGCAACAUCAAAGAUUAGCAGAUAAAAUACGGACUACCACGACCCUACAAAUUUCGUGUGCCUACCGCGAGCUAGUAUUUUAGAUUAAAUUAUUGAAUACAAAUUAUAUUUUUAUC
rnacentral:lncRNA from 1 species